rnacentral:tRNA from 1 species
GCCUGGGUGGCUCAGUCGGUUAAGCGUCCGACUUCGGCUCAGGUCAUGAUCUCGUGUUCUGUGGGUUCGAGCCCCGCGUCAGGCU